rnacentral:rRNA from 1 species
UACGUAGGGGGGCAAGCGUUGUCCGGAAUCAUUGGGCGUAAAGAGCGUGUAGGCGGCCCGGUAAGUCCGCUGUGAAAGUCCAGGGCUCAACCCUGGGAUGCCGGUGGAUACUGUCGGGCUCGAGUCCGGAAGAGGAGUGUGGAAUUCCUGGUGUAGCGGUGAAAUGCGCAGAUAUCAGGAGGAACACCGAUGGCGAAGGCAGAUCUCUGGGCCGUAACUGACGCUGAGGAGCGAAAGCGUGGGGAGCGAACAGG